AGGAUUAGAUACCCUAUUAUUCUUGAGUAAGUAACUUCGAGAAGUAGAGCGUAUGAUAUUGAAAUUUAAAAGGUUUGGCGGCUUUUAGAAUAAUCAGGGGAAUUUGUCGCGUAAUCGUCAAUACGCGUUAGAUCUUACCUGUCCAUAGUUUGUAUACCGCCGUCUAAACAUCCUUAGAAAAGAAGAGUUGAUACGGGAAACUAAUACGUCAGGUCAUGGUGCAGCUUGGUCGAGGUGUUGACAAAUUACAUUUACCUUGUGUAGAGGAAUUGUGUUUAAAUAGCAGAAGGAAUAUGGACUUGUAAGUAAUUAGGGAUUAGAAUACUCUGGUGAAUUUAAAACUAAAAGUGUACAUAUCGCCCGUCACUCA
rnacentral:rRNA from 1 species